rnacentral:rRNA from 1 species
AGAGUUUGAUCCUGGCUCAGAAUCAACGCUGGCGGCGUGCCUAACACAUGCAAGUCGAACGCGAAAGUGGAGCAAUCCAUGAGUAGAGUGGCGAACGGGUGAGUAACACGUGGGUGACCUACCUUCGAAUGGGGGAUAACGUUCCGAAAGGGACGCUAAUACCGCAUAACAUCCUGCCUUUGAACAGGUGGAGAUCAAAGCUGGGGAUCGUAAGACCUGGCGUUUGAAGAGGGGCCCGCGUCCGAUUAGCUAGUUGGUGAGGUAAUGGCUCACCAAGGCAACGAUCGGUAGCCGGCCUGAGAGGGCGGACGGCCACACUGGGACUGAGACACGGCCCAGACUCCUACGGGAGGCAGCAGUGGGGAAUUGUUCGCAAUGGGCGCAAGCCUGACGACGCAACGCCGCGUGGAGGAUGAAGGUCUUCGGAUUGUAAACUCCUGUUGCCCGGGACGAAUGCUCUCGACCUAACACGUCGAGAGGUGACGGUACCGGGUGAGGAAGCCCCGGCUAACUCUGUGCCAGCAGCCGCGGUAAUACAGAGGGGGCAAGCGUUGUUCGGAAUUACUGGGCGUAAAGGGCGCGUAGGCGGCCUGCUAAGUCGAACGUGAAAUCCCCGGGCUCAACCCGGGAACUGCGUUCGAUACUGGUUGGCUUGAAUUCGGGAGAGGGAUGCGGAAUUCCAGGUGUAGCGGUGAAAUGCGUAGAUAUCUGGAGGAACACCGGUGGCGAAGGCGGCAUCCUGGACCGACAUUGACGCUGAGGCGCGAAAGCCAGGGGAGCAAACGGGAUUAGAUACCCCGGUAGUCC